AAUAACAGUCGCCGUCUUAAAAAAUUGCAAGGUUUUGUUUCUAGGGUUCAUGAUGUUUUCAACUUCUGAUUUCUUAGACCGACCUUGAAUUUUCGGGAAGGUGAUAGGAGACAAAUAUUUACAACUAAUAUCUGGUGAAAUCCGCCGUUCGUGCCGAUUCUGUUGGAGUUCUUCUCACCAACAAAGGGAAACCGAAACCAUUACGGACUGUAACGUCCUUCUUUACUCCUUCUCUCCACUCCUUCCACGAUUUAUCAUUCAAUGCACCUCUUCUUCUUCCAAUCCGUGAAUCUGCAGCUAUAAGUAGAAUAGAAUACGCCUCUCUCCUCCUUCAAGACUCCAAAGCCGGUCGCUGUACACGGACGAGGUGUAGCUGCUGAGGUUUUGGGAGACCGAGAAUGUAAAAAGGGGCGGCUAGGUUAUGGGUUUUCAUGGCAGAGAGUUUCAGCUUUCACCAUCAUCCUAGAUUCUUAUUAAUGGCAAUCAUCAGAAUCCGAUUUCAAGUCAUGGAUCUGAAAAUUAAUGAUGUGCUGGCGAUGGAAAUUUUGUCUUGAUACCAACAGAAUUUCACAACUCGAAGGCUUGGUGAUGUUUACGACUGCAGUUGUGGCUGAUGCUGAGAACCGGAAGAAGUGGUCUAAGUCUCCUUUUACUAGUUUCGCAUAGGGUGUGGCGUGGUGUCUCUGCCUCUUGCAAGGUGAUGUUAGAUUAAUGUCAGUGUUUGGUGAAACUCCAGAUUAUGUUAUCUAUAGAAGAUAUGAUCCCACAUUCUUUAUGGGUGUGUGUGUCAAAUACACAAUUCUUUGGUAAGCUGAGAGAGAAGACUUGAGAAGGAUCAAAAGAAAAAGGUCUAUUUAAGAAUCACUGGUAUCAGCUUCUAAAAGUUUUCUUCUCUUUUAUUUAUAUAAUAAUGGGAUAUAAUUUGAACUUUUCAUUGACACCUAAAAGUAAAACAAACAGAGUCGAUAGGCAGAAGAAAGAAAGAAUAACAGAAUUGAGGAGUUUUCAAAGAUCCUCUUCUUCCUCUCUCAUUCUUCUCCUGGUUUGUUCACAAAUUUAAAAUUUAUUGGCUUUUCUUUUUUUUAAUUGGGUUGAAGUAUAUUCACGGGCUCUGCUAAGAAAUGAUCAGAGUUGGUAUUAUAUUGAAGAUUUUUUUGACUUUCACGUUUGAAAUCUCAAAUCAUGUACAUCUUAAGGGUUUGAUGUCAUCUGCUAAAUAAAAAAAUUACAAAAAAAAAAAACAUUUAAGAAUCUAUGACCAAUUAAGUUUGUCCUCUUCUCUUUUAUGAAGGUCUUGAAGAUAUACAUGGAUCAACAUCCCAUUGUUAUGAAUGUUGAUGCAUUCUGUUAUGUAUACAUAAAGUUCUUACAGAUGACUUCUCUUUUUUUUUUUAUAAAAAAGGAUAAAAGAUUGAAUCUCUUGCAUUUGAUUUCAGACAAGAACAUAUAUAUCUCUUGAUUGUUCUUUUAUCAUUGUUCUUUCUUUAUAUCUUGAUUGUUGCAACAGAUUCCUUGAAAAGCUUUUUUUCAGCUAUUAGCUGGUGUAUGCAGUAGAAACUCUCCAAAAAAGAAAGACAGAGGUGGUUGCGUUUCUUCACAGAGAAAACUCAGUAACGAGAUUCAUCAGAAGAAGCA